rnacentral:rRNA from 1 species
AUACGUAGGUGACAAGCGUUAUCCGGAUUUACUGGGCGUAAAGGGCGUGUAGGCGGUCUUGCAAGUCAGAAGUGAAAUUCCUGAGCUCAACUCGGGCGCUGCUUCUGAAACUGCAGGACUUGAGUGCUGGAGGGGAUAGCGGAAUUCCUAGUGGAGCGGUAAAAUGCGCAGAUAUUAGGAAGAACACCGGUGGCGAAGGCGGCUAUCUGGACAGUAACUGACGCUGAGGCGCGAAAGCGUGGGGAGCAAACAGGAUUAGAUACCCUGGUAGUCCACGCUGUAAACGAUGAAUACUAGGUGUCGGGUGGCAAAGCCAUUCGGUGCCGCAGCUAACGCAAUAAGUAUUCCACCUGGGGAGUACGUUCGCAAGAAUGAAACUCAAAUGAAUUGACGGGG